rnacentral:sRNA from 1 species
AUGGCUGUCGUCAGCUCGUGCCGUGAGGUGUUGGGUUAAGUCCCGCAACGAGCGCAACCCCUACUGUUAGUUGCCAGCGGAUAAUGCCGGGGACUCUAGCAGAACUGCCAGCGCAAGCUGAGAGGAAGGUGGGGACGACGUCAAAUCAUCACGGCCCUUACAUCCUGGGCCACACACGUGCUACAAUGGUAGUGACAGAGGGCAGCCACUGGGUAACCAGGAGCGAAUCCCUUAAACACUAUCUCAGUUCGGAUCGAAGUCUGCAACUCGACUUCGUGAAGCUGGAAUCGCUAGUAAUCGCGCAUCAGCCAUGGCGCGGUGAAUACGUUCCCGGGCCUUGUACACACCGCCCGUCAAGCCAUGGAAGCUGGGAGUGCCUGAAGUCGGUAACCGCAAGGAGCUGCCUAGGGUAAAACUAGUAACUAGGGCUAAGUCGUAACAAGGUAGCCGUACCGGAAGGUGUGGCUGGAACACCUCCUUUCUAGAGAAAUAUCUCUAAAUAUUAAAAUGAUCGGCUCUUGAAAUUUACAUUUCUUAGAUCUUCGGUUGGCUCUUUUGAUUUCACAAUACUUUGUCUCUUUUUUUUGCUACACAGUCUCGUAGCUCAGGUGGUUAGAGCGCAACACUGAUAAUGUUGAGGUCGGCAGUUCGAGUCUGCCCGGGACUACGAGAUACUUAAAGUUGAAUAAAUUUUUAGGAAUUUAUUUUUCUGUAGGAAAAAAGAGGGGGAUUAGCUCAGCUGGCUAGAGCGCCUGCCUUGCACGCAGGAGGUCAUCGGUUCGACUCCGAUAUUCUCCACAUCCCCAGUUUAUACUGGGACAAAGUUCUUUGACAUAUUGGAGCAACAUAGAAUAAUCAUCAAGUUGAUGAAAAAUUAAAUAAGGGCACACGGUGGAUGCCUUGGGAUCUAGAGGCGAUGAAGGACGUGGUAAGCUGCGAUAAGCUUCGGGGAGCUGCAACGAGUGCUAAUCCGAAGAUUUCCGAAUGGGGAAACCCGG